GAGUGCAGCCCCCCUGCCGGGGUGCAGGCAGCGGGGCGGGAGGCUCUGGCUGUGCUCUGAGCCACUUCCCCUCCAGGGAACGUGCUGGCCACCCUCAACGGCAGCGUACUGGACAGCCCGUCCGAGGGCCCCGGGGCCUGCCGCCUCCACCUCGGGAGGCCGAGGGCCAGAAGCUGAAGAACGUGCUGGUGCUGAGCGGCGGGGAGGGCUACAUCGACUUCCGCAUCGGGGACGGAGAGGACGACGAGACGGAAGAGGGUGCGGGGGACGCGGGCCAGGUGAAGCCCACACUGUCCAAGGCAGAGCGCAGCCACGUCAUCGUGUGGCAGGUCUCCUACACCCCCGAGUGAGUGCCCGCCAACUGCGCCCACCCCUCUCCGACCUCUCAGCUCGCAGCUUCUCCCGGAGAGCACGGCAGCAGCGGGCGUGAGGCUGGCACUUGUCCCGCGGAUGCGGGACCUCGCGGAACACCCCUUCCCAGCAGCUCCGGGCCAGCCCCAGCCCAGCGCCCACGGCCCAGGGGUGUCUCAAGGCCAGAGCAGGCCGGAUGCCGGGGCUGCACGCUCCCUUCUCCCCCAGGAACGGCCCCGGGCACUGCUGUCUUCCCUCCCCGAGCCCGAGCCCACGGGCCUUGC
rnacentral:lncRNA from 1 species